AUUUAAUUGUACUAAUUAUAAUAGUUGAUGUUGAAUUUAUAACAAUAAUAAGUGUUUGUCUAUUAACAAAAGUAUUCAAGAACCUUUUUUAUUUAAAAUAUAUAUAUAUAUUUUAUUAGGUGUACAUGUAAUAACUGUGCAAAAAUGCCAACUGAAGAGGAAAACAUCUGCUGCAAAGAAAUACAGAAGAGCCGACUAUGGACCAGUGAGACGCAGAAAUGAAGAGGAGCGCUUCCGUUAUCUGGCCUAUCGCAGCUUUGUCAGCUGGUGCUGGGGCUACCUAGGACGUAGUGUGAGGGUUGUCAUCCCCUCAUGUGUUGUUAACCGGAUCCGCCUACAGUUUCCUGAUCCAGCGGGACAGUAUGUUGGGUUCCGGCCACCCCUCGACUGAAUCGUGACACACGCUGGGCAAUCACCUCUUCUUUGGAAGGUUUUUCAUACUGUGAUGACAGAGGAGGUGGAAUGGGGAUUGCAUGCAGCUCUUCCGCAUAUGGCUCGGGGUCCACAAAGACUUUAUGUGACAGAAGGCUCAUAAGGUCAUCGAUAUGGUCUGUAAAAAACAGAAUACGGAGUCCCUCUAUGGGUUUAUAUAAUUACUGAUAAAUAAUCUACCUUUGUUUUAUAAUUAACAUUUGUGUAAUAUUCAUAAAUAUUUUUUGUAAGCUUAUAUUUAUUUUAUUAUAGCUUUUUUUAUAUUAUUGUUAAUAAAACAUUUUACAACUUA